rnacentral:lncRNA from 1 species
UUCCUGGCAAGUCCUUCAAUGGGCUUAGUGUGUUUAGAUUUAUGAGGGAGUGAAUGACCUUCUCUGCCACAGUUUUUUACAUUUUCGUUUUUCCAGGACUGAUUUUCCAUCUGGCCUAACCAGAGUCUGAAGUUGCUGAAUCAAACAGAGCCAAUAGGUCGGACUUGAGCUGACUGGAGCAUGCACAGAGCUGGGAAGCACAACUUACCCUGUAUUUCAUGCAAUACAAAGGAAGAUGGCUGUUUGGGGUUGCCGUGUCUCUUAGCAAUUAAGGAGAUGGCUACAGCCAAGCAGUGUGAAGUGACAGCACCAGAAAGUUUUCUACACCAGAGGCUGAGAACAGGGGCUGUGCAGUCAUAUUCAAUAUUGAGUCCCCAACCCUAACCCGGACCUGGCACAUACAAGACAUUCAGCAGAUGGCUAUUGAAUGAAAAUAUAUAAAUGAAUCAACGAUUACCAGCUGCCUCCACUCCCUUAACCUGCUACAGAAUUAAUAAACUAAUCUUGAGCAUAGUGGAUAUAUAAAAAUAAAAGUAUCGUUGAGGACUGUCAGGCCAGCCUCUCUGUACUGGUUGCUACAUUCUGCUUGUUGAUUUAUGCUACUAAUUACUGUCACUUUUAUUUUGGAUUUGGACAGAAAACAAGAGUGUUACUUAAAGGAAGGCUUCCAAAUUUCUAAGUGUAGGGAACCCUGCUAAGGACAUGGAGCUUCAAAGGGCUCACAAGAAAUUUAUCACACAUAUGUGUGCACAUGCAUAUGGCACACACACUCAACUUUGUAACAUGUAGUAGACCACAUCUAGAAUAAUAUAAAAUUUCUAUCGCAAACAAUCAGCUCUUGACCCUCCAAGCCCAUGGCUGAGUUAAAGAUGAUAUGGCAUCCCUGUAAAGAUCAGAAGGAAAAUAGUAGAGAAGAACCCAGAGUUUCCCUCUAAACCAGGGUGUGUUUCUUUUUUUUUCUUUCUUUUUUUUUUUUUUUUUUUUUAGCAUGUGUUUCGAAACCUUGGCUUUACAACAGAAUCACCUGGUGGGCUUUUAAAAAUGUCAACACUCAGACCACACCUAAGACCAAUUACAUCAGAAUUUCUAGGGAAGCGAACCAGGGAAUUAUUUUUUCAAGUACCCCUGGUGCUUCCACCAUGCAGCCAAGGCUGAGAACCACUGCUCUAGAUUCUUCCUCCCCUUGAGCCCUACUAUGUGCCGGCGUUAUAUGGGGCAAUGUCUUUUCCUUCAAUUUAUUGAUGUAAAAUGUUAUCCACUUUACAUGGCCAAGCCUACACCCUGGAAGGGAAGCAAUUUUAUAAGCCCUCAUUAUUUACUCUAUAUGGUCGGGGCACUAGGAAAAUAAGAAAAAAAAUGUUUUUUUUUUUUUUUUUUUUGCACUCACUUGCUUAAGCUAUCCCCUUAAUACCUAAAGGGAAGCCUUUAGUAUAAUUUUUUAUAAGAACAGUGACAGUAAGACUAUUUGGGAACUGAAGCCAUUCCAUAGAUGAACUCUACAAAGUUUAAUGUACACACUUCAAUUUACAUGCGAUGAGAUAAAAUUGUUAAUGUUUGGAGGUUCGCAGCUUUCUCCCUCCAUCUUUGCCCACUAAGCUCCUUAUUUCUCCUUCACUUUCUAUUAAUAAAAGGGAAAAAGUCAGAUGCUCGUGAACAAUUAGCAUAGAACCAACCCUCAAUCUCCAGGGUGCUUCUUGGAGCUGGGGAUAUGAUUCAUCUAGAGCCUGUGUAGACUUACACAUGGCCCAGAGAAGAGAAGGGAUCAAGGGACCAAGGGGGCAGAGACAUGGCAGAAGAAAUAGAAGCCCAAAGGAAUAUAGGGGUGCUAAAGAUAGAAGCAGACAAGAGAUUUUAAUGAAUUUCUAAGGACUAAGUGUUUGGACUCAUUUACAUGUUUUUGAGAGUGCGAAGUGUAAAGACUAAACCUGCUGUGUAGGCCAUGCUACUGAACUCUAACCACCCUCUGGACAGGAUGGCAGGGUCAUGCCUUUAUGUGAGUUGCAUGAAUGCACUGAGUGGGCAGGUCCACCACUGGAGCACUCAAAAUGUGGCUAGUACAACAGAGGUACUGCAUUUUCACAUUUUGUUGGUUUUAGCUAAUUUAAAUAGGCAAAUGUGGCUAGUGGCUACCCAUACUGAACAGUGCAGGCCUACAGUGCUUAAUCACAGGACACACACCUAUCUGUUUAUGCAUGUAUGGACACCUACUUACAUAAAUGGUUUUGUAUUUGCACAUAAUUAUAUACCCUCAUAUCUCAAGAAUAUACAUACAGACACAACUAGACACAAUUGCAAAAACAAGACACCUAGUCUUGUGGAAAGAUAAAAAGAAUAAAAAUUAAAAUUGGAAUUAUUGCAUGGGUCCAUGUAGGGAGAUUUGACACAAGAAGAAUUGGAGCAAAAAGCACAUGGGUGUGUUGGACAACAGGAUGAAUUUGGGAUGAUGCUUUGAUAACAAAAAAUGAAGGAAAGAAAAUCCUGUGAGACCACCAGUGGUUUAGGAAUACAAGCAGCUUUGUUUCCCUUGAUCUUUUAAUCUUUCAGCAAAAGACCUUUACAAAUGACAUACAUCCUUCAAAGGUGGACUUGACUGUCAAGGAUUGCCCUGAUAACUGGGAAGAACUCCAAAGGGCAUAGAUAGAAAAGGGAAGAAAGCACUUCUUAACAAGGAUGACCAAAUUCUCUAAAUGAUAUUCAUUCACCAAAAACAUUUUAGGCACUCUUGUUUCCAGGAGAAGUAUUUAUUCCAAAGUUAUUAAAACUGUAUGAGAUGGACUAGAUGAAUUUCCAGUUGUCAGAAUUAUUAGUUUACCUAAAAGUUAUACCAAUUCAUGGACUAUAAUAUUAACUUUUUCCCUAUUGAACAGGUAACUGAAUUCUACCCAUAUGAACUAAACAAUAAUUCCUCCACCCAGAAGUGGUAUAAUUGUUGCCAGCUAGAAAUAUUAUGAUUUGCUUUCCAGUUCUCAUAUUAUCCAUCUCAGUCUCUUGAUGUAUACCGUUUACUAAUGCUUGCCUUGCAGGUCUUUCAAUAUGCUGUGCUCCUGCCUGCCUCUUAGUCUUUGCCCAUGCUGUCCCCUGUACAUGAAACGCUCUUCCCAAACUCUUACUGAGUUAACUUCUGCAGAUCUUCCAGGUCUCAUCUUACCAUCCUUAGGAAUGUCAUCUCCAACCUACCCUACCUGUCCCACAUUAGAUCAGUCCUUCCUGUUUUAUGUUUUCAUAAUACCCUGUUCUUCUCUUUCAUAGCCCUUUUUUACAGUUAUAAUUACUGAAUUAUUUGUGUCUUUAUUAUUUAAUUUUAUUAUUUAAGUUUAUCUCACUCUCUGGAUUGUGAACCCCAUGAAUACUUUGGUUCAGAUAUUGUAAUCUGCCUUAUUCAUCACAGUACUAUGUCCCCAGGAUGUAAUACAAAACUCAGCCAAUAGUUGAUGCUCAAUAAAUACCAAUUAAAUGUUCAAUAAAUGAAUAAACGUUUCACUCUAGCUUUAUUUAUCUAAUUCCUCCCUUUCUUCCAUUUUUCUGUAUCAUAAGCUAUACUAUUAUACAGUCCUACACAAUGGUAAACAACUAAAAAAACUCCUAAGCCCUGUACACAGUUGAUUAACUCUGAUAUUCCUCGUUCAGUUCCCCUUAAGAUCUGAUAGACCAUCUGGUGGUAUAUCAUUUAAGUCACGGCAGCUAUAAACAUGUUAAGGCCCAGCAU